GAUGAAGAACGUAGUAAAAUGCGAUACGUAAUGUGAAUUGCAGAAUUCAGUGAAUCAUCGAGUCUUUGAACGCACAUUGCGCCCCCUGGUAUUCCGGGGGGCAUGCCUGUCCGAGCGUCAUUGCUGCCCUCAAGCACGGCUUGUGUGUUGGGCCUCCGUCCUCCUCCCGGGGGACGGGCCCGAAAGGCAGCGGCGGCACCGCGUCCGGUCCUCGAGCGUAUGGGGCUUCGUCACCCGCUCUUGUAGGCCCGGCCGGCGCUUGCCGACACAUCAAUCUUUUUUCCAGGUUGACCUCGGAUCAGGUAGGGAUACCCGCUGAACUUAAGCAUAUCAAUAAGCGGAGGA
rnacentral:misc_RNA from 1 species